UACGUAGGGUGCAAGCGUUGUCCGGAAUUAUUGGGCGUAAAGAGCUCGUAGGCGGUCUGUCGCGUCGGCUGUGAAAACCCGGAGCUCAACUCCGGGCCUGCAGUCGAUACGGGCAGACUGGAGUUCGGCAGGGGAGACUGGAAUUCCUGGUGUAGCGGUGAAAUGCGCAGAUAUCAGGAGGAACACCGGUGGCGAAGGCGGUUCUCUGGGCCUGUACUGACGCUGAGGAGCGAAAGCGUGGGGAGCAAACAGG
rnacentral:rRNA from 1 species